UACGUAGGGGGCGAGCGUUGUCCGGAUUUACUGGGCGUAAAGAGCGCGCAGGCGGUCGAUCAAGUCGAGUGUGAAAGCCCCCGGCUCAACUGGGGAGGGUCAUUCGAUACUGAUCGACUCGAAGGCAGGAGAGGGUAGUGGAAUUCCCGGUGUAGUGGUGAAAUGCGUAGAUAUCGGGAGGAACACCAGUGGCGAAGGCGACUACCUGGCCUGUUCUUGACGCUGAGGCGCGAAAGCUAGGGGAGCGAACGGG
rnacentral:rRNA from 1 species